rnacentral:rRNA from 1 species
CCUACGGGAGGCAGCAGUGGGGAAUAUUGGGCAAUGGGCGCAAGCCUGACCCAGCAACGCCGCGUGAAGGAAGAAGGCUUUCGGGUUGUAAACUUCUUUUAUCAGGGACGAAGCAAGUGACGGUACCUGAUGAAUAAGCCACGGCUAACUACGUGCCAGCAGCCGCGGUAAUACGUAGGUGGCAAGCGUUAUCCGGAUUUACUGGGUGUAAAGGGCGUGUAGGCGGGAAAGCAAGUCAGAUGUGAAAACCAUGAGCUCAACCUGUGGCCUGCAGUUGAAACUGGUUUUCUUGAGUACUGGAGAGGCAGACGGAAUUCCUAGUGUAGCGGUGAAAGGCGUAGAUAUUAGGAGGAACACCAGUGGCGAAGGCGGUCUGCUGGACAGCAACUGACGCUGAGGCGCGAAAGCGUGGGGAGCAAACAGGAUUAGAUACCCCAGUAGUC